UGUAAUGGUUGGUGAAACAGCUGCAUUUUCAUUCCUUCUUAUGAGUUACAUCAUUUAUCUGUGAAGUUAUGUUUAAGGUGAUUUGAGGUUCAGUGCUA